rnacentral:rRNA from 1 species
GGUGGAGCAUGUGGUUUAAUUCGAAGCAACGCGAAGAACCUUACCUGGCCUUGACAUGCUGAGAACUUUCCAGAGAUGGAUUGGUGCCUUCGGGAACUCAGACACAGGUGCUGCAUGGCUGUCGUCAGCUCGUGUCGUGAGAUGUUGGGUUAAGUCCCGCAACGAGCGCAACCCUUAUCCUUUGUUGCCAGCGGUCCGGCCGGGAAUUCAAAGGAGACUGCCAGUGAUAAACUGGAGGAAGGUGGGAUGACGUCAAGUCAUCAUGGCCCUUACGACCAGGACUACACACGUGCUACAAUGGCGCAUACAAAGAGAAGCGACCUCGCGAGAGCAAGCGGACCUCAUAAAGUGCGUCGUAGUCCGGAUUGGAGUCUGCAACUCGACUCCAUGAAGUCGGAAUCGCUAGUAAUCGUGGAUCAGAAUGCCACGGUGAAUACGUUCCCGGGCCUU